CUACUGUGUUAAUAAAGGUAUUUUGGCUACUUUCACAUUGAGUGUGCCAUGUUACUCUUUUUACUCCGUUAUUAUUCUUUUAUUAUUUUAUUGCCUGGUAUCCUGAUUUUACUCCCAGCAAGAACUACUCAAGAAAUCCUUAGGUGGGAAUUAUUCCACUCACGCCCUAUCAAUAAAGCAGUUUGUCUGCUCUGGCAAAUGUGAGUAAUAUACUCUUAU